GCAAGUCGAACGGUAACAGGGAUUAGCUUGCUAAUUUGCUGACGAGUGGCGCACGGGUGCGUAACGCGUAUACAAUCUACCUUUUACAGGGGAAUAGCCUUUAGAAAUGAAGAUUAAUACCCCAUAGUAUAUAGAUUUGGCAUCGGAUUUAUAUUAAAGAUUUAUCGGUAAAAGAUGAGUAUGCGUCCUAUUAGUUAGUUGGUGUGGUAACGGCACACCAAGACAGCGAUAGGUAGGGGGUCUGAGAGGAUUAUC
rnacentral:rRNA from 1 species